CAGAAAGAGUUAUCCCCCUUGGCCGGCAUAGCGAUCGGUUUUCGAUCAAACAUUUAUCGAUACUGAGAUGGAGAACGUCAACGUGCCUGCUGACCCUGCACAUGACGCAUGGUAUCCAAGUGGGCUGUGUCCUGCCACAUUCAGGAAAUUUGAGGUGCAACCCUUGUAGGAAAUCAGGUUUCACUGUCCAGUUACAAGAAGCCUGGUGCAAAUAGCUUGUUUGGUCCAGUUGCACCCAACAAAGGUAAUUGGAGACGGAGAGACACGCCCCCAAAGAGGGGUGCAACUUGUAGGCGGGCACUAUCCUGCUGCAACAUGACGUUACGUCCCUGCAUGUGCACAAAGGCAAGAACAUGAUCUCAAACAAUGUCCUCAUAACAAUGAUGAGUUGUGUUUUCCCAUGAGUUGUGAUGCCACCCCAUACCAUUACACUUCCACCCCAAAACUGAUGAUGAUAAGUAAUGCAAGAGUUGCUAAAACAUUCUCCAGUAUGCAUGUAGACCUUUGCAUGAUCAUCAGAGCAGUUCAGAUGAAACCCUCAUUCAUUUGUGAACAGUGUACUGUCCCUGUUUUUCUUCUGAACCUCAGAUGCUGUCUACACCAAGUGUGACUGAUAGUCCUGUGUAAGCAAAAUUAGGCAUAUUGCUGAAUGUUGGGACCGGAUGUUGUGCUCUCUCAACCGUGCAACUACCAUGCUGUAAUGAAACUUGAUGGUAUCAGUUUACACCAACGCUAAACUACAUAUACAGCUCCCAAUACAGUGUGCUUUGAGAAGGGAGAGCAACUAUGCCCUGUACGUUUCUGGAAAGAAGAAGUGUUGAGAAGAAGAGUGUUGAAGUCAGCAUUGGCAUCCUCAGUAGUGAAAAGAUCAGCAGGGAGUAGCAUCAGUUCGCUACUGUGUGGAGGGACAGUGUUUCUCCCUAUACUCAUGGACAGUACUGUGCAUCUAAACAUAUGAUUCAUAUUAUAUAUUGUUUCAUAAUGUGAGGUGGUUUUUUUUCAUUCAUAAUAUCAAUUAUCAUAUAUGGUGAAUUUAGCAUCUUACAAAUAUACUGUGCAUGGAAUUUCUUCACUUACACUGUUUUGAGCAUUUUGAGGCAAAACUCUUUUCAUGUGUUACAUUUAUGUUUAUUGUUUCCUCAACAAUAAAGAACUAGCAAAAUGA